GAUGAAGAACGUAGCGAAAUGCGAUAAGUAAUGUGAAUUGCAGAAUUCAGUGAAUCAUCGAAUCUUUGAACGCACAUUGCGUCCGCCAGUAUUCUGGCGGGCAUGCCUGUUCGAGCGUCAUUUCAACCAUCAAGCCCCAGGCUUGUGUUGGGGACCUGCGGCUGCCGCAGGCCCUGAAAACCAGUGGCGGGCUCGCUGUCACACCGGGCGUAGUAGAUUUUAUCUCGCUCUGGGCGUGCUGCGGGUUCCGGCCGUUAAAAAACCCUUUUAACCCAAGGUUGACCUCGGAUCAGGUAGGAAUACCCGCUGAACUUAAGCAUAUCAAUAAGCGGAGGA
rnacentral:misc_RNA from 1 species